rnacentral:rRNA from 1 species
UGUGGUUAAAAAGCUCGUAGUUGGAUCUCAACAGCCUUGAAGCGGUUAACUUUGUAGUUUUACUGCUUUAUAGGCUGUGCUUUUGCUGGAGGUUUAGGGGUGCUCUUGAUCGAGUGUCUCUGGAUGCCAGCAGGUUUACUUUGAAAAAAUUAGAGUGCUCAAAGCAGGCUAAAAUGCCUGAAUAUUCGUGCAUGGAAUAAUAGAAUAGGAUGUCGAUCCUAUUUUGUUGGUUUUCGGGACUCGACAUAUGAUAAAUAGGGACAGUCGGGGGCAUUUGUAUUCAAACGACAGAGGUGAAAUUCUUGGACCGUUUGAAGACAAACUACUGCGAAAGCAUUUGCCAAGAAUGUUUUCAUUAAUCAAGAACGAAAGUUAGAGGUUCGAAGGCGAUUAGAUACCGCCCUAGUUCUAACCAUAAACGAUGCCAGCUAGCGAUCUGCCUGCGUUUUUACUGUAGACUGGGCAGGAAGCUUCCGGGAAACCAAAGCAUUUGGGUUCCAGGGGAAGUAUGGUUGCAAAGCUGAAACUUAAAGGAAUUGACGGAAGGGCACCACCAG